rnacentral:rRNA from 1 species
UAUACCUACGGGGCGCAGCAGUGGGGAAUAUUGGGCAAUGGGCGCAAGCCUGACCCAGCAACGCCGCGUGAAGGAAGAAGGCUUUCGGGUUGUAAACUUCUUUUAUCAGGGACGAAGCAAGUGACGGUACCUGAUGAAUAAGCCACGGCUAACUACGUGCCAGCAGCCGCGGUAAUGCGUAGGUGGCAAGCGUUAUCCGGAUUUACUGGGUGUAAAGGGCGUGUAGGCGGGAGUGCAAGUCAGAUGUGAAAACUAUGGGCUCAACCCAUAGCCUGCAUUUGAAACUGUACUU